GCCUUGGCACAGUAGGCAGCGCGUCAGUCUCAUAAUCUGAAGGUUGUGAGUUCAAGCCUCACACGGGGCA
rnacentral:tRNA from 1 species